rnacentral:rRNA from 1 species
GUGAGCAGGAAAGACAGGGGGAUCGCAAGACCUUGCGCUGAUUGAGCGGCCGAUAUCAGAUUAGCUAGUUGGUGAGGUAAAGGCUCACCAAGGCGACGAUCUGUAGCGGGUCUGAGAGGAUGAUCCGCCACACUGGAACUGAGACACGGUCCAGACUCCUACGGGAGGCAGCAGUGGGGAAUUUUGGACAAUGGGCGCAAGCCUGAUCCAGCCAUGCCGCGUGAGUGAAGAAGGCCUUCGGGUUGUAAAGCUCUUUCGGCCGGGAAGAAAUCGCACAGGUUAAUACCCUGUGUGGAUGACGGUACCGGAAUAAGAAGCACCGGCUAACUACGUG